ACUCAAAUGAAUAGACGGGGGCCCGCACAAGCAGCGGAGCAUGUGGUUUAAUUCGAAGCAACGCGUAGAACCUUACCAGGGCUUGACAUGUCAGGAAUCCCGCAGAGAUGCGGGAGUGCCCUUCGGGGAGCCUGAACACAGGUGGUGCAUGGUUGUCGUCAGCUCGUGUCGUGAGAUGUUGGGUUAAGUCCCGCAACGAGCGCAACCCCUAUCGUAUGUUGCCAGCAGGUAAAGCUGGGCACUCAUGCGAGACUGCCGGUGACAAACCGGAGGAAGGUGGGGAUGACGUCAAAUCAUCAUGCCCCUUAUGUCCUGGGCGACACACGUGCUACAAUGGCCGCCACAGAGUGAACCAAACCCGCGAGGGGGAGGAAACCACCAAAGGCGGUCCCAGUUCAGAUCGCAGGCUGCAACUCGCCUGCGUGAAGUUGGAGUUGCUAGUAAUCGCGGAUCAGAACGCCGCGGUGAAUGCGUUCCCGGGCCUUGUACACACCGCCCGU
rnacentral:rRNA from 1 species